rnacentral:rRNA from 1 species
CGCGGCCUAUCAGCUUGUUGGUGAGGUAAUGGCUCACCAAGGCAUCGACGGGUAGCUGGUCUGAGAGGACGACCAGCCACACUGGGACUGAGACACGGCCCAGACUCCUACGGGAGGCAGCAGUAGGGAAUAUUGCGCAAUGGGCGAAAGCCUGACGCAGCGACGCCGCGUGGGGGAAGAAGGCCUUCGGGUCGUAAACCCCUUUCAGCAGGGACGAAAUUGACGGUACCUGCAGAAGAAGCGCCGGCCAACUACGUGCCAGCAGCCGCGGUAAUACGUAGGGCGCAAGCGUUGUCCGGAUUCAUUGGGCGUAAAGGGCUCGUAGGCGGUUUGAUAAGUCGGGUGUGAAAACUCAGGGCUCAACUCUGAGACGCCACUCGAUACUGUCAUGACUAGAGUCCGGUAGGGGAGUGCGGAAUUCCUGGUGUAGCGGUGAAAUGCGCAGAUAUCAGGAGGAACACCGAUAGCGAAGGCAGCACUCUGGGCCGGUACUGACGCUGAGGAGCGAAAGCGUGGGGGGCAAACAGGAUUAGAUACCCUGGUAGUCCACGCCGUAAACGUUGGGCACUAGGUGUGGGUUCCAUCCAACGGAAUCCGUGCCGCAGCUAACGCAUUAAGUGCCCCGCCUGGGGAGUACGG